CUAUGGCAAGAAAAUUUGUCAUGGCGGAAGGAG
rnacentral:ncRNA from 1 species